GCCAAUACUAGCCCAAAUCNNCUCAAUCAGCACUAAUCUUAACUCANNNUAAAUAAACUAAAUCAUUUACAAACAUAAAAGUAUAGGUGAUAGAAAAUUUAUCCUGGCGCUAUAGAUAAAGUACCGUAAGGGAAAGAUGAAAAAAGAAAUACNAAGCACAAAAAAGCAAGGACUUACCCCUGUACCUUCUGCAUAAUGAACUAACUAGAGAUUAUUUCGCAAAGAGAACUANUAGUCAAAUACCCCGAAACCAGACGAGCUACCCAAAAACAGCUAAAAGAGCGCACCCGUCUAUGUAGCAAAAUAGUGGGAAGAUUUCUGGGUAGAGGUGACACGCCUAUCGAGCCUGGUGAUAGCUGGUUAUCCAAGAUAGAAUUUUAGUUCAACUUUAAGCCUACCUACAGAGCUANUUAAUCCUCCUGUAAGCUUAAUUGUUAGUCUAAAGAGGGACAGCUCUUUAGACACUAGGAAAAAACCUUAUAUAGAGAGUAAAANNUNUUUCAACUCCCAUAGUUGGCCUAAAAGCAGCCAUCAAUUAAGAAAGCGUUCAAGCUCAACNUCCCUUAACUAGAGAAAUCCCAAGCAUCUUACCGAACUCCUUAUACUACAUUGGAUUAGUCUAUCAUAUUAUAGAAGCAAUAAUGCUAGCAUUAGUAACAUGAAUAAAUUCUCCUGUGCAUAAGCCUAAAUCAGAACAAAAGCUUCACUGAUAUCUAACAGCUAGGUGCUAAUAACCGUAAACAAGCCAGCACUAUAUACACUGUUAACCCAACACAGGCAUGCCUUUAAGGAAAGGUUAAAAAAAGUAAAAGGAACUCGGCAAANUAUAACCCCGCCUGUUUACCAAAAACAUCACCUCUAGCAUUACUAGUAUUAGAGGCACUGCCUGCCCGGUGACACAUGUUUAACGGCCGCGGUACCCUGACCGUGCAAAGGUAGCAUAAUCACUUGUUCUUUAAAUAAGGACUCGUAUGAAUGGCAACACGAGGGUUAGACUGUCUCUUACUUUCAACCAGUGAAAUUGACCUGUCCGUGAAGAGGCGGACAUAAAAUAAUAAGACGAGAAGACCCUGUGGAGCUUUAACCCACNUAAUGCAAACAAAAUCAAUAUAAAUCUACGGACCUAACACANCCCUGCCCCUGCAUUAGAAGUUUUGGUUGGGGUGACCUCGGAGCACAACUAAACCUCCGAAUAAACUAUGCCAAGACCACACAAGUCAAAGCGAGCUACCAUACAUAAUUGAUCCAAUAACUUGAUCAACGGAAUAAGUUACCCCAGGGAUAACAGCGCAAUCCUAUCCCAGAGUCCAUAUCGACGAUAGGGUUUACGACCUCGAUGUUGGAUCAGGACAUCCUGAUGGUGCAGCAGCUAUCAAGGGUUUGUUUGUUCAACAAUUAAAGUCCUACGUGAUCUGAGUUCAGACCGGAGCAAUCCAGGUCGGUUUCUAUCUAUUCUGUAUUUCUCCCUGUACGAAAGGACAAGAGAAAUAGAGCCUACUUCACANNAAGCGCCCUCUUUUCAUAAAUGACCUAGUCUUAAUUUAAUAUAAACUCACUAACACAACCCAAGAACAGGGAUU
rnacentral:rRNA from 1 species